rnacentral:rRNA from 1 species
AAUAGAUACCCGGGUAGUCCACGCCGUAAACGAUGGAUACUAGCUGUUGGGGGCGACCUCAGUGGCUAAGCGAAAGUGAUAAGUAUCCCACCUGGGGAGUACGUUCGCAAGAAUGAAACUCAAAGGAAUUGACGGGGGCCCGCACAAGCGGUGGAGCAUGUGGUUUAAUUCGAUGAUACGCGAGGAACCUUACCAAGGCUUAAAUGCAGACUGACCGUUUUGGAAACAGAACUUUCGCAAGACAGUCUACAAGGUGCUGCAUGGUUGUCGUCAGCUCGUGCCGUGAGGUGUCAGGUUAAGUCCUAUAACGAGCGCAACCCCUGUUGUUAGUUGCCAGCGAGUAGUGUCGGGAACUCUAACAAGACUGCCAGUGCAAACUGUGAGGAAGGUGGGGAUGACGUCAAAUCAUCACGGCCCUUACGCCUUGGGCUACACACGUGCUACAAUGGCCGGUACAGAGAGCAGCCACCUCGCGAGAGGGAGCGAAUCUACAAAGCCGGUCACAGUUCGGAUCGGAGU